ACCCAGCACCAGACGUCAUUUGGACGUUGUUUUCUGGUCUAAAUAAAGUCGGCCCGUCAUGGCUUUCUUUUAGACCAAAAAACGACGUUGAAAAAUGGUCUUUGUUUGGUCCGAGAGAUUUGGUCCAAAUUAAGCCCAAAAAGGCGACGUUUAACGGUUUUUUUUUUAAAUCCAAAUUUAGCCCAAAAAUAGAUGUAGAUGGGCUUUUGUCCAAAUUUAGCAGAAAAACACGUUUAUUUCGGACCACAGCCAUUAACAUAAAUAUAGCUAGUGAAGAAAUAGAUUAUACAUCAUAUCUGAAGCACUGUAAAAUAUAUUGAAAUAUAUUUUGAAAACACUGGAUGGGCGCGCGCUGAACUGGAGCGGAGGAGGUCACCAUGGAAACGGGGCGGCAGCUCAACUGUCAAGCACCUGAACUCUGUCUCUCAUGGUUGUUUUCACUCAUUUCAGAAAUGGCUUAUUGUCUUCAGAAAAAGUCCGUUAGCAUCUCAACCUUAAUGCUAACUACAAGAGAUUCUUCCAUGCUGAUGUCCAUACCCUAGAGUUGGAGCGUGUAUCUUUUCAAAGAUCAUUUUUAGACAUUAUGAGACAUAUGACUUGGGGGCAAAAUACAUUGAGUCAAGUCAGACAUUCGACAGUCAUAAUUACUGAUCUUAACACAGAAAAAAUGUGUAAUGAACGCCUCGCAGAUACAAACGGGGUAAAUAAUAGUUCAUCAUUGAUAUAUCUUUUCUAUUUCAGAGACUGAAAAUCAUCGAUAAACCACAAGAGUUUAGCUCCAACCCCAAUUAAGCAGACCGGAGCAGCUGAUCAAAGAUCACCAGAAACUCUGCAGAACGGUUGUCCUGCAUGCCCAGGACUGGACACCAGUGUUAUGCUGGAGAAAAAACAGCGAAAAAACAUCUGCCAUGGCUCAUUAAUCCAGAAUUGGGAUGGUGGAAGGAGCAGAAGAUCCAGAAGAUCAGAGAUCUACUGGUGCCCCUGUGGGAACCAAUUUACCUAAUGAGUUAGUUAAACCAAACAUUUUCAUCACUCACCUUCAUGUUGUUCCAAGCCGGACUUUUGUUCAUCUUUGGAGCAUAAAUGCAGAACUUUUUAAUGAAAUCUGAGAAUAUAAAUUUUUUUAUUUAUACAAUAACACAUUCACGAGAGCACCAUGAUGCAUUAGUGUUGAGUUGGCAUGAGAGCUGGCAAUCUCAUGGUACUUUUGUGAAAAUCUGUUGGGGAUACAUCAUUUCUGAAUACAUUUUUUAUUUUUUUAUUUUAUUUUUUGCUGUUGUUGUUGUUGUUUUUUGUACACAAGGCAUCUGUUAAAAAAUCUUAAUUUGUGUUCUGCACAAAAGGGUCUUAUGGGUUUGGAGCAACAUGAAGGUAAGUAAUUAAUGACAGAAUUUACAUUUUUGGUUGUUCUAAUGUGGUUAUAAUUGGUCAUUGUUUCCAUUUUCAAUAUUUUAAAGAUUUAUUGUCUUGAAAAAUUAUCUUUAUACAGAAAGAUGGAUUCAUUUGAUAAGUUACAGUAAAGACUUUUAAAUUGAUAAAAAAUUAAAAUAAAUA